CUAAGCCGGUUCCCCACCGCUUCCCCUAUUCCGCACCUCUCCCACCUACACAGCCGCCGGCCUUCCUCCCUAACCCAGUUGGUAGCAUCAUCAAUCGUGAUUCGGUAGGGUCGGCCUACUUCCAGUAGGCAUCCUGGUCGAUCGGAAGUCGAACAUUGGCACCGUUCCAGACCUCAGAAGUACAAGCGGUGGAAACCUGGGGGAGGACUUGGGAAAUGGCAUAGGCAUCGGAGGUGUCUGCGAGGACAUGAGACAUGAGGAUGGGAUCGGCGACCAAAACCGGAGGUAGAAGGAGGUCUGCUCAGAGGUCAGAGGGGUAAAGAAGGAGACACGAGGCGGAGGAGAGCAAGAGGCCGGUCGAUGCCGAGAUAGGCAAGGAGUAAGGGAUGUGCAUGGAGCUGAACAACAAUGUCGUGAUGCUCAAGUAUAGCCACGCAAUGUGCUAAUGCUUUCUGGGAGCCCAUGAAAUGCUUUGAUUCAGCGAGAAUAGAAAGCAAAUGGUGGCCACUAUCGAUCAGUUGAUUCACCGUCUGCCAGUCUGCAUCCUACUGUAGUGUACGACAUGGGAGAUCAAAUUUCAAUGCAGAAACCACGGUCACCCGGUGAUUUUUUUGCAGCACCGGUUACAGGCUCUGGACAUUAUUUGAAUGUGGUAUAUCACUUCUCCAGAGUAUUGUAUUGCUCGAAUCAGUGAAUCUUGGAAAUUCAGUGAUUAGUGUAUUGCAACCACUUCUGGCCUUUGUAAGAUUA